CACCGCGGUUAUACGAGUAACCCAAAUUAAUAUUCUACGGUGUAAAGAGUGAUUUAAGGAAAAACUGCAAAAACUAAAGUUAAGAUUUCAUCUAACCGUCAUACGUAUUUAUGAACAGAAUAAUCAAUAACGAAAGUAACUUUACCUAAUUAGUAAUCUUGAUGUCACGACAGUUAGGAUC
rnacentral:rRNA from 1 species